AGAGUUUGAUCAUGGCUCAGAAUGAACGUUGGCGGCGUGGAUUAGGCAUGCAAGUCGAGCGAGAACCGUAGCAAUACGGGGACAGCGGCGCAAGGGACAGUAAUGUGUAGAUCAUCUACCCUCGGGCUCGGGAUAGCUGCGGGAAACUGCAGGUAAUACCGAAUAACGUCUCCGGACCAAAGGUGAGAUUCCGCCCGUGGAUGAGUCUGCAUCCUAUUAGCUUGUUGGUGGGGUAACGGCCUACCAAGGCAAUGAUGGGUAGCAGGUGUGAGAGCACGACCUGCGUCAUUGGGACUGAGACACUGCCCAGACACCUACGGGUGGCUGCAGUCGAGAAUCUUCGGCAAUGGGCGCAAGCCUGACCGAGCGACGCCGCGUGCGGGAUGAAGGCCUUCGGGUUGUAAACCGCUGUCAGAGGGGAGGAAAUGCGGGUGGGUUCUCCCAUUCGUUUGACCUAUCCUCAGAGGAAGUACGGGCUAAGUUCGUGCCAGCAGCCGCGGUAAGACGAACCGUACGAACGUUAUUCGGAAUCACUGGGCUUAAAGGGUGCGUAGGCGGUGCGGAAAGUUGGGUGUGAAAUCCCUCGGCUCAACCGAGGAACUGCGCCCAAAACUACCGCACUUGAGGGAGAUAGAGGUGAGCGGAACUUAGGGUGGAGCGGUGAAAUGCGUUGAUAUCCUAAGGAACACCGGUGGCGAAAGCGGCUCACUGGAUCUCUUCUGACGCUGAGGCACGAAAGCUAGGGUAGCGAACGGGAUUAGAUACCCCGGUAGUCCUAGCCGUAAACGAUGAGCACU
rnacentral:rRNA from 1 species